UUUGGACACCAUGAUGAAAGCAUAGCCCAGCAGACUUGACCCCUGAUGAACAAUGACUAGAGGUCUUUCCCCCCUAUCUGAUGUAUCUG
ensembl:snoRNA